AGAUUUAUGCAGUAGCCACGUUUGUUAAAGUAUUUGGCAGUGGUGACAUCAUCUUUGUUGAAAUGCCAUUCUGAGUGAUGAGUCCCAGAUGCUAACAUACAGCAAAAGCCGAGAGAAGGAAUACAGUGUAAUAUCAAAUACAUUUAUUUAUCUAGAAUGAAGAUUUUCAAAAAUGCUCAGCAUUGGACUCAGGAGCUUGGCUCUCAAGGCUAGAGGAGUGUGCUGACACAUAGUGACAAACUUGUUCUAAAGCGGUGGAAGCUGGAACUACUGUACUUUGACUGUUGCAAUUCAAGUAGAGAUGACUCCAGUGAUUUACAUUUCUAUCUAUAUAACAAAUGUGACUAGCCCUAGGACUCUACUCAGCCCCUUUGAAGAUCCACACAAGCAACCAUAAAAUAUCAGCAUCUGCGUGUGUGAAAUCAAGGCAACUGAUCACCAGAUUCCACUCUUUGAUCUAUGUGGAUUUCUAUGUGUUGAUCUAGCUGAGCGAAAAGAAGUCAGGAUGAUAUAUUUGUCUAUGCCUAUCUACUUCUAAGGUAGCGUAUCACUACAGCAUCAGUGUAUAAAUAGUAAAGUAUGGCAUUUGUUCCAUACUUUUCUGCAAUGUACCUCAUUGUGGAUUCUAAGAAUUGGAUACAAUCCCCAGACAUUUCUUCACUAGGCAUGACAGAGACAAGCAUCUAUUCUGGGAACUGCAUUACCUAAAGCGCAUCCUUGUUUGUUAUGAUAUUUGUUAUCAUGGGAGGACCAUAUCUACAAUGAUUUGGUUAAAGUCUGAGCUAUGCUCUUUUGUUCUAUAUGUAUAACUGAAACAUGCUCAAAUUUGCAAAAUAUCACCGCUUAUCAUGUGUUAGUAGCGAAAGGAAAUUUUGAACCAUUAUAGUUCAUUUUCUGGAUUUUGAAACAUAAUGGAGUCAUAAUUUGUAUUGUUUCCCAGCAAAGACUAGCCUAGCAGUUGUAUGUGGACAUUCAAACUGGGUGAAAUUUUCCAUGCUCAAUUAUUAUAUUUAGUUUCCAAAAUUCUCCAGCUUCACUAGCACAAAUAUUAGUGGAACCUAAAUUUUAAAUUUGUAUGUGUGAUUAAUUGCAUUAGAUAUGCGUAUACACUCAUCAGUACAGAAAUGAGUACCAUGUGGACUAUCUGGCCAUUCACAACUAACACUGCUGGAACAGUGAAUACUCAUAGAGAACUGCUAAUAAUCAAUCUACAAUAGCAAAAAUAAAAUCUGUGCUGAAUAUUUUAAAUAACUCAUUGAUAAUCACAGGAGAACUCUGGGCAAUUAUUAUACAGUAGUCAUAAUAAAGAAACUUUUAAAAAGAAAUAAUUUGAAUUAAACAAUGCUGGAAACUCCAGUCACAGAUGGUUCACUUGUAACCACCAGAUAUUAGUUUCAUAAGCAAAUAGAGAUUUGCUUACCAUCACCAUAGAAGAAACAAUAUUUAAUUAUGUAUAUUUGAUCUGGAAAAAUUACAGAACUGUGACCCUCUGGAAGAGAUUCUGGGUUUUAAUAAAAUAAGCAAGCAAGUUUAUGAAAAUGUUAUAAAAGUAGCUUUCUAAGAAGUAUUUAUGUGAACAGUUAGAUUGGCAAGCAUAGAAAAUAAGAAACAUACACUUAGCAACUCUAAUGUCCCUUUUGAUGCCUUAGGUCUGAAGUACUUGGCAGACAGGUUCCCCGUCCUCAGCGUUGUCCAAUUUUUCAAAGUUAGAAAAAGAAUAAUUGCAAAUGACUCGAUUGCUAAAGUUAGAACAAAUGAUUGUCACGUCUACUUAGUUAUAUUAACUAUAUGCUAAAAUAUCAUCAGAGCUUUAUCCACUAAUUUUAAAUGCAGGUUAUAAUAUAAGAUUGACUAGCAGUAUUUGAAAAUAUUCUAUUUGCCUUUUUCCAGUUAAGAAGAAUUUAGUUGCACUGCAGUAGGUCCUUCCCAACAGCCAGUCACUGUUUGUGCCAAUGUAUAGGUUUAAAAGAAAGCCAAAUAGUUUGUACAAUUAACUGGAGGAAAUGUUAACUAAACAGGGAUGUGGCAUGGAUUUUACACUUGUUUUACCCAUUAUGGGCCAGUUGUCUUCUGUGCCAAGAUAAGCUCAGUACAGGAGAGAGGGAAGCCACCAGGCAUCCAGUUAUGGCUUCCGGAUUCUUGGGCUGCUCUGUGCCUGGCCCUAAUGUGAGUUAGAACAGCCUAAGCACAGCUCAACUUACAACAUCUAGCUACUGUCCCUAAGGUACCCUAUGUCAGAUGAAAAUCCAUUUGACUUUGACUCUUCUGUACCUAAGCAGUUUUGAAUAUCAAAAUAGAUAUAUUUGUGGCCCAGUUUUUCAGUAUUUGACUUGCAAAGAAUGUGUUUAACUUAAUUUUACAAUGUUCUUUUAAUGUUUCUACCUAUGUACCUACCUAUCUAGGUUUUUAUACCACCGCCAUCAUGGGAGUAUCUUACUGUCCAGAUGACAAUUCCUUUACGCAGACAGAAUGGUACUUUUACUGACACCCAAAAGUCUGAAAUACACAGCUGCACAUUGCAUGCCAUCUGCAUAUUUUUUGGUAAAUAUAUAUUGGCACAAUGCUUGAAAAUAGGUUCAACUGUUCACCCCAUUAGCACCAACUAAAAUCGUUAAUUAUGUACUACAUCCUAUGAAUAGAUAGUAAAGGAGGAUGCAUAUUGUAUUUUCAUUUAAUUUUCAUUUCAUUUAAUCUUGUUCUUGUGAUGCUCCCCAGGGCUACCCAGGGUUGUGAGGUACCUUGUGAGGAAGUCUUGUCUGUGCCUGCUGUGAAUCAGCUCCCUGACAUCAGCCUCUGGCAACACAAGCACUGCCUUCCAGGACUGCAGAGACCUCGCUUUCUCUGUGCAGGGUAGCAAUAAACACACACCAACAACGCCUGAGUCCCCAGAGUGCCCUCUGGAGUGCCCAGCCUCUGAGCCUCUGAUUCACUGAACACUCACAGAACUCUGAGAUUCCCCAUUCCCAAAGAACACACCACCUUACAAUAUUCAACUCAGCAUCACUACUUUACUUAAAAAACAGCACUUGGGUAUAUUUAUAGUGAAAACAAGAAUAAGUUUAUUACCAAAGAACAGAGAUUCAGAUGAUAGUAAAAGGAAGAAUAUUGGAUACAAAUGUUCACAUAUAAAACAAAAUAAUGAUAUGCUUUCUAGAGACUAAACUUAACUCACAGGAUAUCCCCCUAUCUCUACAAGAUAGCUUACCCCAAGUCUUUUCCCCAGCAUUUUCAACCAGGUUGGCUGAGGUCCCCCUUUCAUAAAAUCAAGGAUGCCAGAAUGUCUCUCUGCCCUUCCAGAUAUAUCAGACAAGACCCUUUGAUUUUCACCUGAAAACAGAGCCUCCCCCACUGUUUAUCUCUUCCUGUUAAUUUCCUUCCCUGAGCUCUUCAUUAGCAUUUGACUUAAUAUGCUAAUAGACAUUAUAGACAAUGGUCCACCAGAAAAAUAAGUGUCUCCCAUCUCCUGUCUGGAGAUUUUUGUUUCAGGACACACUACCUUUGAGUCACCUGCCUUUAACUACAAGGGGUAGAGAACAUAAUUUUCAGCAAAUAUAUAAACUUCUCACAUAUUUUCUGUACAUACCUCUUGCAACGAUUAUGAUGACCAGUGUCAUACAUGCUUUCAGUAGAACCCCGACAUGUUUCCUUUUGGUGAAUCCAGGGGUUCCCUGUUUCCUAUGUACCCCUGUACCCACUGCCAAUUGGUAUUAUGAGGUCUGUGGGCCACAGUUCUUAUUAUAGGUACUUAUAAAUCAACCACAUCUGCAUAUUAUCACUGAUCUCAUCUUGAAAAUUUGUAAAACUUAAUUUGUAGUAAAAUAAGCAGUAUAGGCAGGUGGCAGCAAUUCCAUUUAAUUUAGUUGGAAAGAGCUACAAAAUUGUCAUUCAGCUUAUUUCACCAGAAAUUUAUCUUGAGAAAUAUGUCCAAAGAGAAUCUGAUAAGAUGGCAGCAAACAUAGAGAACUAGACAACAAAAUCUAUGUUUUGGGGAAAUGCUGGCUAUAAGCCAGCUUUUGGUCUCCUUUGCAAAUGAUAGAGAUGUUAAAAGUCUAUCAUUCCGUAUUCUAAAUUAAUAGUAUUGUGAAAAUAAAAAUCUCUUUCUUGUUUGUAUUAGAUUUCCUUUUAUUGUUUUCAAGUGACACUUUCCAAUUACCACUUUUGGUUGGGUGAACAUCAUGAAAAGGAACCUAGAAAGCCUCAAUAUCCCCAAUUUACAGCAGGCAUUUGUUCAGUUUUGGAUGCUGUACAUAGCACAACAGAAGAAUGUUGACACCGUGGAGCCCUAUUUUAAUAUACAGGAUCUUUUUCAGGAUGCUGAGUGGUCUUGAGUGGAAGCUGAAUAGAAGAUUUGUAAGUGGGACACACUCAGCAACCCUCUUAGGUGUUGAUUCUUUUAGGCAUUCCAAUUGAGGUGUAAUGGCCUGAACUGUAGGGGCAGACAUUUCUGGGUUGAGACAGACCAGAAGCCUGGAAUAUUGUAUUAUUUCUAUUCCAAUUAUCCAUUUUCUGGAAGGGUGAAAAUAGUUAAGUGAUCCAGUUGAAAACUGGUGUCCUCUACCUUCUUCAGGGGUAGCUCUCCUAUCAUGGGCCGGGUCAGUUUCCUCUUCCAGCAGAUUCCCAUUGUCAUUCAUCAUCCAUCUGUCCUUGGAACAAUGAAAUACCAACUCAGAGUCAAAGGAAAAUUAGUUGUCUGUGCCAGGGACCUGCUCUGUCUCCUUAAGAUGGUCAGUAAGCUGGACAGAGCUGGUCCCAACCUUAUUACACAGGAGGGCCUUGUGUGGGCCAAAUAGAUUCUACAUAUUUUAAUAAAAUUUAAAGUCACCUUUGAAAUUGCAGCUGACAGGAGAAACAACUCCUCCAUGUGCUCGUAUACACUGAGUCUCACGUGAAAAAAUCAGGAAACAUAAAAUAAAUCCUGUAGUGAGGCCAGGAGUCACAAGUUUUUUUGGUGUGAGGGUCUUAGACGCCUCACCUGACAACUAUUUAAAGAGACAUAAUUACUCCAUAUGCAGAAAAAUAAUGUGGCAUUAUUCCCUUGAUAUUUAGUGUUGCUUUUCAUUAGAGGCAUACUUUUUGGAGAUCAUCUAAAAAGGAUACAGCUAGUGGGUCGACUUAGAAAAGGAUACAGAUGAAAUUAAACAGUUGGUCACCUUGCUAUUUCAAGUACUUUGAAUUUUUUUUCCAGCCAAAAACCAAACUUGUUUAAACAAUUAUUUGGGCUUGGGUUAUGUUAUUUCAUUUUAGAAACAAUUAUGAAAAAAAGCUGCAUGCACACGCACACACACAGAGACCAAAAAGGAGACAUCCUGUCUGUUUAAGAAUUUCCCUGUAAGAUAUUAGAUUCCAAGUUCUAACUCACUUCAUAAACAAACUUGGUGAACAUCAAAGACUAAAGCACACAGCAUGCUGAGUCCAAACUAUACACCUCAAAAGUAAAUGUUACCUCAAUGGAAUAUCUCCUGAAAUUCUAAAUAAAAUAAAGGCUAAGAUGUCCAAAUGUUUUCUGAUAAAUGCAGACCAUUAUUAAAAUUUAUAAUAGUUAUAUUAUUAAAACAGGUGGUCCUUAAUGAGAACAGAGUAUUGCAUGGAACAUUGGAAAUUUGUUUUAGAAAUAUCUUAGAACAUAUAUAGCUAGUAUUGCUUUUUGGUUCAUGUUAGAGAAAGAUAAGUCAAAUUAAUGUCAGUAUAUUUUUAAUUGUUUUUAACAAGCUAUCUUCAGUUACAAUGAAUCUUUUCUGGACGUUGCUAGUGCCUUAAAGGAGAGAUAGGGAGAGAGGCCGUAGAAAUAAAAGACGUGCUGAACUCAGAGGAGCUACAGAGCUGUUUUAUGCAAAAAUAAUUCUUUAAAAGCUGUGUAAAUCCUUGGUAGAUAAAUAAACAUUCUAAAUGAUCUCUAUUUGACAUUGUGAGUAAAAGGCUCAUGUCAACAAUUCUGUUAGUUCUUGUUUUUUAUCUGAACCACAGAUUUUCUCCUUAAUAUCUUAAGCAGAUGCUGCAAAAAAGUAUCAUGUGCUAUGGCUGUAAAAUGAAUUUAAAUAAUUACUGAAUA